GAUGAACGCUGGCGGCGUGCUUAACACAUGCAAGUCGAACGGAAAGGCUCCUGCUUGCAGGGGUACUCGAGUGGCGAACGGGUGAGUAACACGUGGGUGAUCUGCCCUGCACUUCGGGAUAAGCCUGGGAAACUGGGUCUAAUACCGGAUAGGACGAUGGUUUGGAUGCCAUUGUGGAAAGUUUUUUCGGUGUGGGAUGAGCUCGCGGCCUAUCAGCUUGUUGGUGGGGUAAGGGCCUACUAAGGCGUCGACGGGUAGCCGGCCUGGGAGGGUGUACGGCCACAUUGGGACUGAGAGACGGCCCAGACGGCUACGGGAGGCAGCAGGGGGGAAUAUUGCACAAUGGGCGCAAGCCUGAUGCAGCGACGCCGCGUGGGGGAUGACGGCCUUCGGGUUGUAAACUCCUUUCUCUAGGGACGAAGCGCAAGUGACGGUACCUGGAGAAGAAGCACCGGCUAACUACGUG
rnacentral:rRNA from 1 species